rnacentral:rRNA from 1 species
UCGUCAGCUCGUGCCGUGAGGUGUCGGCUUAAGUGCCAUAACGAGCGCAACCCCCAUCGACAGUUGCUAACAGAUCAAGCUGAGGACUCUGUCGAGACUGCCGGCGCAAGCUGUGAGGAAGGCGGGGAUGACGUCAAAUCAGCACGGCCCUUACGUCCGGGGCGACACACGUGUUACAAUGGCGGGGACAGCGGGAAGCCACCUGGCGACAGGGAGCGGAACCCGAAACCCCGUCUCAGUUCGGAUUGGAGUCUGCAACCCGACUCCAUGAAGCUGGAUUCGCUAGUAAUCGCGCAUCAGCCACGGCGCGGUGAAUACGUUCCCGGGCCUUGUACACACCGCCCGUCAAGCCAUGGAAGCCGGGAGUGCCUGAAGUUCGUGACCGCAAGGAGCGACCUAGGGUAAAACCGGUGACUGGGGCUAAGUCGUAACAAGGUAGCCGUACCGGAAGGUGCGGCUGGAUCACCUC